UAAAAGAGUAGGGUGUCAAUCAUUUUCUUUUAGGAAUGAACAUUGCUGCUGUUGAGACAGAAAUGGCAGACUAAUUGCUGUUUCUUGUUACCUCCCCCUUGAGCAUCUGAUCCUGAGAUGGACUGCUCCCAUCUCUCUACUGUCAUGACACGAAGAGGAGAACCAAGGAUCCCCAGACAUCACCAGCACCAUCUGCCAAGCAUGUGGGUGGGGCCAACAUAACCUGCCCAGCCCAGCUGACCCAGCUGACUGCAGCUGCGUAAGUGAGCCAAGAAAACUAGCAGAGAAACCACCAGUCAAACCACAGACUCACAAGAAGUAAUAAAUUGUUGUUUCAAACCAUUA